GGUACUGCACACACCAGCUACACAUGUCUCCAGAAGUGCUGCCCAGAGCUCCUAAGGAGGCUGUGUGGUGCAGAGUACUGAUCCCUGCUGGGGAUGCAGCGGAAACAUCAAGACUGUAAAACUAAUGGGGAAAGCAGCAGUUGGAGAAACAAGAUUGAAGAACUGCGAAGAUAUUCAAGAUUCAGGCAGAAAAGAAGGCUUAAGCAUCCCCACAGUGUUUCUAACCCUUCAUGGAAAUGAGCCUGACCCAAACCCAUGCCUCGGAAAACCCCAAAACUUAGGCAAAGUUUAAUUCUGCACACAAAACUGAGAGAUCUCUUCUGUGGCUUGCAGAAGGUCGGAGGCUCCUUCCGGAGCUGCUCUGUCUGUGCCCCUGACCCAUGAAAUCCUACAAUUGAUCUUAAGUGGUGGGAAGGGUCUUGCAUAGUCCAUCUACACCUUGGUGAACUUCCCCCUGUGUGUUUGUACUGAUAAGGACGCUAGAUACUAUAAUUUCUCUUAAAUUUAAUUUAAAGA